rnacentral:rRNA from 1 species
AGUUAACGUUGGCGGCGUGCCUAACACAUGCAAGUCGAACGCGUCCUAAGGGCAACUUUAGGAUGAGUGGCGAACGGGUGAGUAUCACGUGGGUAAUCUUCCUUUAAGUGGGGAAUAAGCUCUCGAAAGGGAGUCUAAUACCGCAUGACAUUCCGGGACACAAGUCCCGUAAUCAAAGCCGCAAGGCGCUUGAAGAUGAGCCUGCGUCCUAUUAGCUAGUUGGUGGGGUAACGGCCUACCAAGGCUCAGAUGGGUAGCCGGCCUGAGAGGGUGACCGGCCACACUGGGACUGAGACACGGCCCAGACUCCUACGGGGGGCAGCAGUGGGGGAUCUUGCACAAUGGGCGAAAGCCUGAUGCAGCGACGCCGCGUGAGCGAAGAAGGCCUUCGGGUUGUAAAGCUCUGUCUGGAGGGACGAAGGAAGUGACGGUACCUCCGGAGGAAGCCACGGCUAACUACGUG